AGAUUUGAUGAAGUUGUCGAGUGCUCAUCACGACGAUUUUGGGUACUGUGAUUUUUCAACAAUUUGAAUAGGAAGAUCUGAUGC
rfam:Punica granatum cultivar Dabenzi scaffold525, whole genome shotgun sequence.